UCGAGCCAAGGCCGGACGGUCGCGCGCGCGGGGCCCGGGAAGCAAUGCGCUUGCGCAGUCUGGCUCCGGCCCCUUUCGCCACUAACUGGUAAUUGAGCCGAGCUGAACGUUUCGCUUAGAAAAGGACCUUUUGAUCAAUUUCCCACUGCCAAACGUGAAGGGCGAGUUCUCUAAGGACUCCGCCUUCCCUUUGCUCUGGCUUCGUGAAGCUUAAGGACGAGGUGGCUCUGUCCUCCUAGGUUACUCUGCAUUUUCCAGAACAUUUGAUAAAUGAAAGCAUACAUUUUUGGUCUUUCAUUCAGCAUUGAGACUUGUCCACAUUGUGUAUAUCAGUAAUUGCUUUUAUUGUAAGAGGAUUUCAUUGUACGGAUAAUCAUUCCUGUCUUUCCCUGUUGAUGGCCACGUGGAUCUUUUCUGCCUUUGGGCAAAUAAAGCUACUGUGAACGUUCAUGUCCAA